rnacentral:lncRNA from 1 species
AUGUCCAGCAAUUCUUUGAAACCCUAUCAAGCCUUGAUGGGCAAUCUUCCCAGAAGGUACACAGCUCUGGACGUACCAACACUCUAUUUAAAAACCGGUAAGGUAGAGUGGAAGGCAGAGCUGAGUGAAACUGACACCUGGUAUUUGCUGGAGGUUUCUUUCUGGAAAGCUGACAGCACACCUCUGACCCUCUCCAAAAGGUCUGAUGUGAAAUAUUGCGACAAAGUUGGAAUCAAUUGGCAGAUUCUAAUAUUUUGCUGGCUUCAUGAAGGAAUGUCGAGGUUUAGGUUUUAAUGAUCUGGAACAUUCUAAAAGGUAUUGGGUUGAUUCGUCUUCAUAGGCUUGAUAGAAUUCUCUUGUGAAAUACUCUUGACCUAAAAUGUGUGUGUGUGUGUGUGUGUGUGUGUGUUGUGAGAAAGUAGGCAUAAAAGAGAAGAGAAGUCAAUAAUGACUCUAGAAUUCUGGCUUGCAUAUUUGUUUGGAUAGUGUUGCCAUUGCCUGAAAUAGGGAGCUCUGACAGAAGUCCAGGCUUAGGUGAAAAUCUCAUGGAUUUGAUUUUAAAUAAAUGUUGACUUUCAGAUUUUGCCUGACGAGGAGCCUCGGAGUGGCAUUGUACUUGUCAGAGAGACGAUGACCAGGAAAUUUGUGCAGAAGCUGUGUUUAAAUGUUGUAUUAGUUUGCUAGGGCUGCUACAACAAAAUACCCCAAACUGAGUUGCCUGAACAAUAGAAAUGGGUUCUCUCAUAGUUCUGGAGGCCAGAAGUCCAAAAUCAAGCUGUUGGCAGGGUUGGUUUCAUCUGAGAGAAGGAUCUGUUCUGGGCCUCUUUCCUAACAUCUGAUAGUUCCUUGGCUUGUGGUGGCAUAAACCCAGUCUUCACAUGGCAUUCUCCCUGUGUGUCUGGGGACACCCAUCAUAUAAGCCCACUCUAAUGACUUCAUUUUAACUUCAUUACCUCUGUAAAGCCUGUGUUUCCAAAUGAGCUCACAUUCUGAGAUAUUGGGGUUAGAACUUCAACAUCUGAAUAUUAGGGGGAAACACAAUUCAAACCAUAACAAAUAUCAAACAUACUCUCUUAAUUUAAAUUUUAUUUUUAUUUUGGGGUAGCUUCUGGGGUGGGGCUAAUGAAGAUUAUUUGGAGGAAAUAUUCCCCACCCACCAGCCACUCAUUGUUGCUGCCAAAAAUUUGCUGCUGUGUAUUGAGGUGACUUCAAGAUAUUCAAAAGCAUAUGUUAUGCUAAGCGAAAGAAGACAAGCACAGGAGACCAC